AUGGAGAUGAUUUUGGGCUACCAGCUGGGAACAAGAAAAAGAGAACGGAGGCCAGUUAUUGAGCAAAAAAUUUAUAUCGACAAAGAAGCACACAACAUAAUGAUGCUGAAGAUAAAUCGUACUGACUUUCCCAGUGCCACCCUUCCUCCGACCCAACACUGUCAGCCACCGAAAGAUGUGGUAAAGUUCUAUGGAUGGAUUAAUCCAGUUUAUAACUUUGCUAAAGACCGGGAUGAGGCUCAGAAACUACAGACUGGAGGGCUCACUGUAGCAAGCUGCAUUAACGUCCCAACACAAGAGAAGCAGCCCUUGCCACUUUGUCUGAAAAAACAUCAGGAACACCACAUUCUGUGUGCAAAACACCCCCCCAGAGUGAACGACUGUGAGCUCUUUGCUGGAACCAGUUUGAUGAAGGGUGAUGUUCUGUAUGGAGUCCUCGUGAACUACGAUAUCCUCUGCCAGAAACAAGUGGAGUUCAUGGAUGUGUGUGCCUACAGAGACUGGAUUGAUGAUCUAAUAAGAGAUGUGUCAAAAAGACCCAUAACAAUAAUAUGGGAAAACCUCUGUGGCUGUUCUGAAGAUUAAUCUAGUCACGCUUCUUAGAAAGAAACACAGAAACAUGUCAGGUUUUCAGAUUUCAGAUGUGUAGUUUGGUCAAUAAAACCAUUUAGAGUAAAACUCUCA
rnacentral:lncRNA from 1 species